UACGGAGGGUGCAAGCGUUGUCCGGAUUUAUUGGGUUUAAAGGGUGCGUAGGCGGCGUUGUAAGUCAGUGGUGAAAUCCUACAGCUUAACUGUAGCAUUGCCAUUGAUACUGCAAGGCUUGAGUACAGACGGGGUAGGCGGAAUUUAUGGUGUAGCGGUGAAAUGCAUAGAUACCAUAAAGAACACCGAUCGCGAAGGCAGCUUACUAGACUGUAACUGACGCUGAGGCACGAAAGCGUGGGGAUCAAACAGG
rnacentral:rRNA from 1 species